GGCGCUCAGCCAAGAAUGCAAGUACUUUUCAGAGACUGGCUGUGGAGAGUGGGAUAGCUGGAGUCCUCAUACCCCUACCCUCCGUCCAUGAGCGUCCAUUCUCUGGCUCCGUUACGCUUGUCACGCAGCGCUGUGUAUCUGGAGUUAUUUUUCAAACGCUU